rnacentral:rRNA from 1 species
UGGGGGAUAUUGCACAAUGGGCGAAAGCCUGAUGCAGCGACGCCGCGUGGGGGAUGAAGGCUUUCGGGUUGUAAACCUCUUCGCUAUCGAACAAGGCCCGCUUAGGGUGGGUUGAGGGUAGGUGGAGAAGAAGCGCCGGCUAACUACGUGCCAGCAGCCGCGGUAAUACGUAGGGCGCGAGCGUUGUCCGGAAUUAUUGGGCGUCAAGGGCUUGUAGGCGGCUUGUUGCGCCUGCUGUGAAAACGCGGGGCUUAACUUCGCGGGUGCAGUGGGUAAGGGCAGGCUUGAGUGUGGUAGGGGUGACUGGAAUUCCAGGUGUAGCGGUGGAAUGCGCAGAUAUCUGGAGGAACACCGAUGGCGAAGGCAGGUCACUGGGCCAUUACUGACGCUGAGGAGCGAAAGCAUGGGUAGCGAACAGG